rnacentral:rRNA from 1 species
UACAGAGGGGGCGAGCGUUGUUCGGAAUUACUGGGCGUAAAGGGCGCGUAGGCGGCCCGCUAAGUCGAACGUGAAAUCCCCAGGCUCAACCUGGGAACUGCGUCCGAUACUGGCAGGCUUGAAUCCGGGAGAGGAUGUGGAAUUCCAGGUGUAGUGGUGAAAUGCGUAGAUAUCUGGAGGAACACCGGUGGCGAAGGCGGCAUCCUGGACCGGUAUGACGCUGAGGCGCGAAAGCUAGGGGAGCAAACGGG